UACAGAGGUCCCAAGCGUUGUUCGGAUUCACUGGGCGUAAAGGGUGCGUAGGUGGUUGUGCAAGUCUGAUGUGAAAUCUCCGGGCUCAACCCGGAAAUGGCAUUGGAAACUGCAUGGCUAGAGGGUUGGAGGGGGGACUGGAAUACUUGGUGUAGCAGUGAAAUGCGUAGAUAUCAAGUGGAACACCAGUGGCGAAGGCGAGUCCCUGGACAACACCUGACACUGAGGCACGAAGGCUAGGGGAGCAAACAGG
rnacentral:rRNA from 1 species